rnacentral:misc_RNA from 1 species
CCCGGUUUGUCACCGGCAGUCUCAUUAGAGUGCCCAACUGAAUGUAGCAACUAAUGACAAGGGUUGCGCUCGUUGCGGGGCUUAACCCAACAUCUCACGACACGAGCUGACGACAGCCAUGCAGCACCUGUGUUCCGGUUCUCUUGCGAGCACCCCCGGCUUUCACCAGGCUUCCGGACAUGUCAAGGGUAGGUAAGGUUAUUCGCGUUGCAUCGAAUUAAUCCACAUCAUCCACCGCUUGUGCGGGUCCCCGUCAAUUCCUUUGAGUUUUAAUCUUGCGACCGUACUCCCCAGGCGGACAACUUCACGCGUUAGCUGCGGUACUGAGAAAUCGCUUCCCCAACACCUAGUUGUCAUCGUUUAGGGCGUGGACUAC